GACGAACGCUGGCGGCGUGCCUAAUACAUGCAAGUCGAGCGAAGUUUUUCUGGUGCUUGCACCGGAAAAACUUAGCGGCGAACGGGUGAGUAACACGUAAAGAACCUGCCUCAUAGACUGGGACAACUAUUGGAAACGAUAGCUAAUACCGGAUAACAGCAUUAACUGCAUGGUUGAUGUUUAAAAGUUGGUUUUGCUAACACUAUGAGAUGGCUUUGCGGUGCAUUAGCUAGUUGGUGGGGUAAAGGCCUACCAAGGCGACGAUGCAUAGCCGACCUGAGAGGGUGAUCGGCCACACUGGGACUGAGACACGGCCCAGACUCCUACGGGAGGCAGCAGUAGGGAAUCUUCCACAAUGGGCGAAAGCCUGACGGAGCAACGCCGCGUGAGUGAAGAAGGAUUUCGGUUCGUAAAGCUCUGUUGUUAGGGAAGAAUGAUUGUGUAGUAACUAUACACAGUAGAGACGGUACCUAACCAGAAAGCCACGGCUAACUACGUG
rnacentral:rRNA from 1 species